GGGGGGAUGGGGUAGCCUGGCAUCCUGCCAGCUUUGGGAGCUGGCGACCUGAGUUCGAAUCUCAGUCCCCCCAC
rnacentral:tRNA from 1 species